rnacentral:lncRNA from 1 species
GAUUAUUAUUUUAGCAAAAAUUUGCAUCAAAAAAAUUCUGUUAUAAUAGAUUUAUAACAACCUUCAAUCAACCAUUGAUUUGAUUCUUAAAAUCUGGUCAAAACUAGAUCAAAUAAUUUUUAAUUAUAGGUUUAAUAUCUAACAUAAAAACUAAUCAUAUAUCAUAUAUAUUCAUAUCAAAAAUAUUCAUCUAUGCAUCCAUAUAUCAGCCUUACUCUGAUACCAGUUCAAGAGAAAAUAUCCAAUC